rfam:Cavia porcellus supercont2_197 genomic scaffold, whole genome shotgun sequence.
GGGAAACGGGAAGGGGGCUGGGGCUCUGAGCCACCCCAAGCCCUAGGAAGUACAGGCUCA